UUCCGUAGGUGAACCUGCGGAGGGAUCAUUACACAAAUAUGAAGGCGGGCUGGAACCUCUCGGGGUUACAGCCUUGCUGAAUAAUACACCCUUGUCUUUUGCGUACUUCUUGUUUCCUUGGUGGGUUCGCCCACCACUAGGACAAACAUAAACCUUUUGUAAUUGCAAUCAGAAUCAGUAACAAAUUAAUAAUUACAACUUUCAACAACGGAUCUCUUGGUUCUGGCAUCGAUGAAGAACGCAGCGAAAUGCGAUAAGUAGUGUGAAUUGCAGAAUUCAGUGAAUCAUCGAAUCUUUGAACGCACAUUGCGCCCUUUGGUAUUCCAAAGGGCAUGCCUGUUCGAGCGUCAUUUGUACCCUCAAGCUUUGCUUGGUGUUGGGCGUCUUGUCUCUAGCUUUGCUGGAGACUCGCCUUAAUGUAAUUGGCAGCCGGCCCCCUUUUUCGGAGCGCAGCACAAGUCGCACUCUCUAUCAGCAAAGGUCUAGCAUCCAUUAAACCUUUUUUCAACUUUUUCCUCGGAUCAGGUAGGGAUACCCGCUGAACUUAAGCAUUUCAAUAAGCGGAGGAAAUUUAAGGUG
rnacentral:rRNA from 1 species